rnacentral:rRNA from 1 species
CGUUACUGACGCUGAGAGCGAAAGCGUGGGGAGCGAACAGGAUUAGAUACCCUGGUAGUCCACGCCGUAAACGGUGGGUGCUAGCUGUGGGCCACAUUCCACGUGGUCCGUGACGAAGUUAACACAUUAAGCACCCCGCCUGGGGAGUACGGCCGCAAGGCUAAAACUCAAAGGAAUUGACGGGGGCCCGCACAAGCGGCGGAGCAUGCGGAUUAAUUCGAUGCAACGCGAAGAACCUUACCAAGGCUUGACAUAUAGAGGAAAAGUACAGAAAUGUACUCCCCGUAAGGUCUCUAUACAGGUGGUGCAUGGUUGUCGUCAGCUCGUGUCGUGAGAUGUUGGGUUAAGUCCCGCAACGAGCGCAACCCUCGUCCUAUGUUGCCAGCACGUUAUGGUGGGAACUCAUGGGAUACUGCCGGGGUCAACUCGGAGGAAGGUGGGGAUGACGUCAAAUCAUCAUGCCCCUUAUGUCUUGGGCUUCACGCAUGCUACAAUGGCCGGUACAGAGGGCUGCAAUACCGUAAGGUGGAGCGAAUCCCAAAAAGCCGGUCUCAGUUCGGAUUGAGGUCUGCAACUCGACCUCAUGAAGUCGGAGUCGCUAGUAAUCGUAGAUCAGCAACGCUACGGUGAAUACGUUCCCGGGCCUUGUACACACCGCCCGUCAAGUCACGAAAGUCGGUAACACCCGAAGCCGGUGGCCCAACCUUUUGGAGGGAGCCGUCUAAGGUGGGACUGGUAAUUGGGACUAAGUCGUAACAAGGUAGCCGUACCGGAAGGUGCGGCUG